AGGCGGUUUCUUUACUUACCAGUUUGGGGAGUGGAAGAUAUGUUUCUUUGAGUCCAGUAAAAAUAAACCAAAACACAGGAGAGAAGACUGUGAGUUUUUACCCGAGAGUGAAAAGAAUGAGCAGCACACACUCAGCACUGAGGAAGGAAAUGUUCAUCUGGAGAAGACAGGCCCAAGAGUGACUGCUGUCUCCACACACCUAGUGGCACUCUUGGCCAGGAGGGACUGUCCUUUUCUGUGGUUCCAAAGGAAGAACCAGGAUCAAUGAGUGGAAAUUCAACGAACACUGACUUUGGUCAGGUCUGAUUACUGAUUACCUUGAGCACUGCGCCUUUGCUGUGAGUAAAGUUCAAAAGCUUCUAAGUUUGAAACUGGCCUCCUCCUCAACCACGGAAGAAAAGUCUACCAUCAUUUAUUGUGGAGAUGACUAGAAAUUGUAAGACCUGGAGAGAAUGGAAUGUACCAGCCCUGGGAAAAACUAAAAGUUUCUGUUUAUUCACUUAACUUGAGACAGUAAUAAAUAUGGUUGUUUACACCUCUGUACCUCAUAAAGACCUCCAAGCAUUCUGUACACCAGCUCAAGAUGACUUGCUUGAAAUGGAAAAAGGCUGUUUUCAGCAGUAGUUAGCCCCUAUACUGGCAGUGUUUCACAGAAAAGGAAAGUGAAGCUUGGAAAAGUGAAACCACUUGCUCUAAGUGGCAGGAAGAGGUGGCGUUGAACCCCAGGGCUCUUGCAUUCAAAAGCUCUUUUGGAAAGAGAAAAGGAAAAGUGCAGCUGACUGAACUGUGAAGCAAAGGAGCUAAGAAGCCUGGAUGCCAACCCCAAGGGUCCUGAAGAGUCCCAUUGAGGAGCUCCUUACAGCAGAAAGCCCAUUUCUCAGAGGCACAUACAUGGUCCAGAGCCAAGAAGGUCCAGAAAGCAAGACUGCAUCCUUCACCAAGGAAGGUGAUUGUGAUGUGGACACUUCAAGGGGGAACAAAAAAAAAUCUUCCUUUGAAAACCUAACAUUGGCUCUGCCAAUUCAAUUUCACCGAGGUCCUUUGAGAACUGAGUUCAAAGGUUCUCUACAGCUUCCAUUUACUUUGGCAUAAGAUUUAACAGAAAAAGAAUUAAGGGAGAAUUUAUAUGGGCCAGGCUGUUUUCCAAAUCUCAGACUGCUAAAAGUUAUUUAGAAUUUGCUUUAACUUGCAAUCCUAUGUAAAGUGGUUCAGAUGUAAAUGCUUUCCGUGUGGCCUGAGGCAAUCUAGGUUUCCUCAAAUGCACAUGUGCCAUUCGAAUAUUAAAGAUUUUGAUUGGAAAUCUCAAAGUACAUUGGGUUCCUCUUGAUUAGAGACUGCUGUUACUUUAUGCGACAUUGGGUCAGAGGAGGAGAAAUAAAACAUACUGCCUUCAUUUGGGCAUUAUAUUCUCACAGUAGCUCUAACAUAAACAAACUUCACAGGCUGAGAGAAGGGCAUUUGCUCCUUUAAAUUGAGUAUGUAAUGUAAAUAAAUGUCUUCUAAGAAAGGAUGGCUGAAACUUGAUUCUGAGUCUGAACCUAUACAAGGG
rnacentral:lncRNA from 10 species